GAUGAACGCUGGCGGCGUGCCUAAUACAUGCAAGUCGAGCGAACAGACGAGGAGCUUGCUCCUCUGACGUUAGCGGCGGACGGGUGAGUAACACGUGGAUAACCUACCUAUAAGACUGGGAUAACUUCGGGAAACCGGAGCCAAUACCGGAUAAUAUAUUGAACCGCAUGGUUCAAUAGUGAAAGACGGUUUUGCUGUCACUUAUAGAUGGAUCCGCGCCGCAUUAGCUAGUUGGUAAGGUAACGGCUUACCAAGGCAACGAUGCGUAGCCGACCUGAGAGGGUGAUCGGCCACACUGGAACUGAGACACGGUCCAGACUCCUACGGGAGGCAGCAGUAGGGAAUCUUCCGCAAUGGGCGAAAGCCUGACGGAGCAACGCCGCGUGAGUGAUGAAGGUCUUCGGAUCGUAAAACUCUGUUAUUAGGGAAGAACAAAUGUGUAAGUAACUAUGCACGUCUUGACGGUACCUAAUCAGAAAGCCACGGCUAACUACG
rnacentral:rRNA from 1 species